UAGGUAUGGGGCAACGCACAACGACAUCAAAGUCCUGCCUUUUUGCGCUUCGAUUUGUCCCGCAAGUCCGAUUGGUGGCCCCUUUUCGACACCAACAUUACGGCGCCCACCAAUUUCGUCAACAACAAAAUCCACUUCAUCUUGUACAACGACUUUGAGCAUCUGGAAGAACGUGUGGAGCGCAAAUUGAAGUCCAAGUUCUCCAAGUGGCGGCUAAUGGAACGCACCAACUUUAACUAUCGAGUGUCUGAAGCGUUUUCCGGCACGUUGCGUCUCCUGGAACUCAACUCCAUGCAUGGAAAACCCAAUAACGACGCUCUGUUGGAGCUGAGCAAGGCCAUUGGGGCCUAUCAAAUAAAUGGCGCUGUUCUCAAUGUUCCUUUCACAAGUCUCCAGGCUCUAGUCAGGAGAGUUAAAGCGCUGAAUUUGCACAUCCAGUCACCAGACGUGGCUGAAUUUGGCCUAAGUGUUAUGGUCCAGAUCUAUCCAGGGCGGGUGCUUUCAGUUUGGCUUUUUAUCGGAAGAAUUACAGACAUAUCGUGAGA